rnacentral:rRNA from 1 species
UUGAAGACGACGAGGUAGAUAGGCUGGGGGUGGAAGUGCAGCAAUGCAUGGAGCUGACCAGUACUAAUCGGUCGAGGGCUUAUCCAAAUA